AUGACUCCCCUCCCAGUUUUCGUCCUCCUGUCAUUGGUUUGUUUCUGCAUAUCCGAUGACCGCCUUACUACCGCAAAACCGCUCAAUGCCCGCGACAAGCUCGUUUCGAGCGGCGGUGUCUUUGCUCUUGGCUUCUUCACCCCGGCAAACUCAACUGCGGACACAUACAUCGGCAUAUGGUACAACAAGAUUCCCCAGCCCACUUAUGUGUGGGUUGCUAACCGCGACAACCCAAUCAAGAAUGGUUCUCCUGGGAAGCUGGUUAUGAGCAGCAACUCUGACCUUGUCUUGUCUGACUCCCAAGGCCGCACUCUCUGGACAACUACAAACAACUUCACAUCCGCAACCACGGGAACUGCUGCUAUACUGUUUGACUCCGGAAACUUGGUCAUCCAGUUGCCGAACGGCAAACACAUAUGGCAGAGCUUCGAUUACCCAACCGACACCGCCCUCCCUGACAUGGUUUUACCACUGAGCACAAAUGAUGGUAUCUUGAGGCGCCUCGUUGCUUGGAAGGGCCCUGAUGACCCGGCCACCAGCGACUACUCCAUGGGUGCUGACUCCAGCUCAGACCUCCAGGUUGUCAUCUGGAAUGGGACGAGACCAUAUUGGCGCAGCUCUCCGUGGGAUGGGUCAUUGGUCUCUGCCCUGUAUCAAAGCAUUACUGGCUUCAUCGUAACUGAAACAAUUGUCGACAGAGGGGGUGAGUUAUACAUGACAUUCACCGUCUCCGAGGGAUCACCAAGCAUGCGCAUGAUGCUGGACUACAAGGGCACUUUUAAAUUUCUGGCGUGGAACAGCAACUCAUCAUCAUGGGAGGCUUUCAUAGAGCAUCCUAGUCCUAUCUGUGAACGCUACGCCUAUUGCGGACCAUUUGGCUACUGUGAUGCCGCUGAACCAGUUCCGAAAUGCAACUGCCUCAGUGGGUUUGAGCCUGAUGGCGUUAACUUCUCCAGAGGGUGUCGGAGAAAGGAGGAUCUGAAAUGUGGUAAAGACAAUAAUUUCUCGACUCUGAGAGGUAUGAAGACACCUGACAAGUUCUUGUAUGUCAGGAAUAGAAGCUUUGACCAAUGCACAGAAGAGUGCAGACGCAGUUGCUCUUGCUCCGCGUAUGCUUAUGCUGACCUGAAAAAUGGCAGCAGGGCUGCGGACCAGUCGAGGUGCUUAAUUUGGUUGGGAGAGCUUGUUGACACAGGGAAAUUUCGUGAUGGUGGUGGUGAGAAUCUGUACCUCCGCCUUGCCAGUUCAACAGUUGACAAUGAGAGUAAUGUAUUGAAGACUAUACUCCCAAUAGUGGCUAUUCUGCUGAUACUCACAUCCAUCUGCCUUGUAUGGAUAUGCAAGUCAAGAGUGUCAGGUAAACAACGAAUCAAGGAGAUUAAGAACAAACAUACACGACAGCACUUGCAAAAUUCCAAAUUGAACGAACUUGAGAAUGAAAGUAUAGACCUUCCAUAUAUCUGCUUUGAAGACAUUGUUACUGCAACAGACAAUUUCUCAGACUACAAAUUGCUUGGGAAAGGUGGCUUUGGAAAAGUUUACAAGGGACUAUUAGGAGGUGGUGGUAAGGAAGUUGCUGUCAAAAGGCUUAGUAAAAGUUCCGGCCAAGGGGCCGACGAGUUCAGAAAUGAAGUUGUUCUAAUUGCCAAAUUACAGCAUAGAAACUUAGUUAGACUUCUUGGUUACUGCACUCAUGAAGAUGAGAAGUUAUUGAUAUAUGAAUACUUACCUAACAAAAGCUUGGAUGCCUUCCUUUUUGAUGCAACAAGAAAUUUUGUGCUUGAUUGGCUGACUCGGUUCAAGGUAAUUAAAGGGAUAGCGAGAGGGCUUCUUUAUCUCCACCAAGAUUCAAGGUUAACAAUAAUUCAUAGGGAUCUCAAAGCAAGCAAUGUCUUGUUAGAUGCAGAAAUGAACCCUAAAAUAUCAGAUUUUGGUAUGGCAAGGAUAUUUGGAGGAAAUGAGCAACAAGCGAACACUAUACGCAUUGUUGGGACGUAUGGUUACAUGUCUCCUGAAUAUGCAAUGGAAGGUUCCUUUUCUGUCAAGUCUGACACGUAUAGCUUUGGCGUUCUACUGUUGGAGAUUGUAAGCGGGUUAAAGAUCAGUUCAGCCCAUUUCAUGACAGACUUUACAAACCUUGUAGCUUACGCCUGGAGCUUAUGGAAAGAUGGAAAUGCAAGAGAAUUGGUGCACUCGUCCAUUGUGGAGAACUGUCCACUUCAUGAAGUUAUACGAUGUAUUCAUAUAGGUCUCUUGUGUGUUCAAGACAAUCCAAAUGCCAGGCCGCUCAUGUCAUCCACUGUGUUCAUGCUAGAAAAUGAAACGGCCCCGCUUCCUACUCCGAAGGAGCCUCUAUACUUUAGGCGACGAUAUGAUGAGGUUGAAGACCAAAGAGAUACCAUGGGAAUAACCCUGAAUAAGAUGACUAUCACUAUGCAAGAGGGGCGUUAG
rnacentral:rRNA from 1 species